GUAUUCUAACAAAUUCAAGAUGUAGCCAAGAAAAUUUUAUUACAGCGAAUAGUGAAGAAGUUAAGCCUUUAUAGGUAUAAUGAACAAUGUUAGUCAAAACAAGUCGUAGAAUAGUCAUUGUCUAUAAUGCAUUUAUAUGCCUAUGGUAUAAUAAAAUUAAUACAAAUAUGAAUUUAUUUCCAUAAUAUCACACCCAAACACAGCAAUUAGAGUACAAUUCUUGCAGCUUGCUAGGUAAAAGUAAGUAUAUAUAGUUACGUUGGCCAGGAUGCAAAGAACUGUCCCUCACAGGCAACUUACUUGCAGUAGAAACAGAGAAGGAAUAUGAUGUCACAGGUUUUGGAGGUUCUAUGGCUCUACUCACGAUCAUAUAAGAGUAUCUACGGGAAACAACAGUGUGCAGACCCCACUUCCCCUCUCUCAGAGGAGGGUUUACUUCCGUUGUGAGAUGCCACUGCAGUGUAGGCUGAGAUUUGUUCUAAUCUCAGUGGGGGAAUACGAUGCUCUUAAAAACACCACCAAAAAACAGAGCAACACCACCGACUUUAAUGCCACUGGAUACCACAGCUCCACGUGCUCACAUCUAGCUCAGCACAGUGGCUGACCAGGAGCUGACAUGCAUUUGCAGUAUGAACAUGCUAUGCUUUGUUUCACUAAUCAUCUGUUUUGAGUGAGCACACAAAGAUCACUUCAUAAUUUCCAUGUUCUACCUUUCAAAUCAAGCUUGAUUUUUUUCAAAUGUUUAAUCUGUCAAGACAAGCAGUAAAUUAAAAAAUUAUUUUUAGGUUUUUCAUAUUUAUUUUUAGCCAAAUACAAAAAUGACACUGCAAAAGGCAGAUACCUAUACCCAUCAUAUGCCAGAGGUGAAAGAAAAUUGCAUUAGCGCUCUACUAACUACGGUGUUAACUGCUCUCAGAUGAAUUCUCAUAUUUUUGUAGUAAUUCACAUUGUGCAAUAGGCAGUACAAUCUAAUUCACCACAACUGCAUAAUUUUGGGCCAACUUGCUAUUGAUAAAUAAUGCAAGUAUUAGGUUAUUAAAUUUUUUACAAUUAAGUGACUAAGAAAGCUGUUUAUUGCCUUCCGUUAUGCCCUCUGUUAAUAAGAUCGUUGUUGCAGAUGUUCAUGUAUGCUGCAUUGGUGUUUAAUGGUGCAUGAUGCUCUAGGUGGUUCCCAUAACCUUGCUUUGUCUACUAUGAGCUGACUCAAUUGAUAUGAUAAUAGAGAAAAGAGGUCUGAAACAAGCUGGGCUGUACUGGCACAAUUUGCAUAACCUUAAAAUUUGCCAUCACUUGGUAGCCAACUGCUCCUAAAAUUCUUAUUCACUUGUCAGCACUGACAAUAAACUGAAGAAACAGCACUCUGCAAUUGGACGGAUGAGGAAGGAGAGGGCAUGCACACUUUAUUGCACUUUUAUAUUCUAUCAGGAAAUGUACUUAUUAUCAAAUUUAGAAAACCAACAAUUUGGAAUCGAGUUCUGCAGUUUCAUUCAUGAUCAAUUGCUGUUAGCCACAAAGCAUGGCCUGGCAUCUUUUCAGGUUCCCAGUACAAUAUCACAGGGUCAGAUUACAAGGGAUAUAAAUAUUUGGUUCCACGGACUCCUCUCUGAUUUAGUUUUGACUGCAGGAAUCAGGACGGAUUACAAGGGGCCGGGUGGGCUCAGGGUAGCAGAGCACAGCAAAUAAAAUCACAAGGAGUCACCUUCAAAACUCCAAAUCCGAUUUCUGACAAGUGUCUGUGUUCUUUUUAAAGAAAUAUUAUUAUUAAGUCAUUUGGUAGGUAAAGCCAAAACCUAAUAGUAUAAAAAUCAUUCAAGUUUGCUAUAUUUACUAAAUCUGCUGUCUGUACGUACUUUAAGUCAGGUCUGCUUAUUUUACUGGCUUUUUGUACUCAUAAUAAACAAAACAAAGUGGAAGUAAGCUGGAGCCUGCUUUGAUUUAAACAGGAUCAACUACGUAAAAUUUAUUUUUGUGGUAUUGAAGGCUUAUGUCUAAACUGCCACUUCAUCACCCGUGUUACGCUCAGUUGUGUCAAGGCCAGGUCACUGGUAUAUGAGUAACAUUUUAUUUUUCACAACGGGAUUUAAACCAUUCCCACUUAGUUUUACCUGUAAAACUUACUGUGGAAAUCAUUGAGCCAAACUGAUCAUAAAACCUCACAAUUUCACCUGCAUACAAUUAACCAUUUUGAAGAAUUCCAAUGUACUCAUGCUCUUCCUGGCUCCAGUGUUAGCUCUAAAUGUUUUGCUGCCUUGCACAAAUUGUAUCCUAAAUCCCCAAAGUCAGAUGAAGCAGGACUCCAUGAACCCUCCUCUUUGUCCACUUUUUCCACUAGCCAGCAUCUCUGCUCCAUCUCUCCUGGAGAUAAGAAUUUAUCUUUUACUCAGCCAUCUAUUUACCACAGCUUCUAUUGCCUAAGACUGAAUGCUACAGCAGAGAAACUUCUAAUCAAAGGGUCAGUUCCUACAGUUAAUUUCCUUCCAGGGUCACCAUACAUACCCAUAUUUUACUCUCCUUCCACUCUAUGCAAUUAUUUUAUAGUGACUAUUUGAGCUGGUGAAGAUUAGAGGCUUGAAAACAUAAGUUCCAUCAUUUAAGGCAAAAGCAUGCCACGGAUAGCUACAAUUUAAACUUUUCUACAAUGUUCAUUCAACUGUAAUCACAAGAUGGAAAAUAAAAUCUCUAAAUUAAAGAUGAUAGGCUAUCAGAGUCUGUAGAGCACCUUCUAAGUAGAGAUUCUGCUGCUGAAACUCCUCUGUGAUGAUUUACUAUGAAGUGAACUGCUGCCUAACAAAAAAAUAAAGGUGAAAACUGCCAAAACAAUAGAAAAAAAGAUCUUCUACAUAAGAUACUCCGUCUAGCUGCCAGCGGUCAAAGGGUCCAGUUUUUUAUGCACCUCAUUUGUAACAGACAGCAAAGAAGACACCUUAAGGUAAGAUGUGUUAUAAAAUCUCUCAGCAUACAUACAGUUAUUUUUUUGUAUAACCUCCAGGUAGACUACAAAAAUUGAAUCAAGAGACUGCAGACAAGGUACAACACACAAAAAGACAUGUGGAUCCGUAUAAACCAUUUAUAUUCAUGAGUGUUUUAAGUUCUCCAUGGCCAUAAUCAAUAUCCAAUGAAGUUAAUGAGAUCUUUCCAUUGAUUUCAGAAGACACCAGGCUGAGCCCCAGAGACAACAGUAUCAUAUUCUCUGCAAGCACACCAGCUGAUAACACAUACUUUGAUAAGUUACUGGCUUCCCAUUUGUAUUUUCAGCAAAAGAUAGGUUAUCUCAUUUCAAAUUCAUGUUGCAAAAUGAGCAGUU